rnacentral:sRNA from 1 species
GUCAACUACCUCUCCCUGAAGGGAGAGGCUUGUAAACGCAAGCCAGGUUGACCAGGGAAAGCGGUAAACAACCCGCUACGUUGGCAACAG